rnacentral:rRNA from 1 species
ACGCUGGCGGCCGCGCCUAAUACAUGCAAGUCGAGCGAGAAGGUGUAGCAAUACACUUGUAAAGCGGCGAACGGGUGAGGAAUGCAUGGGUAACCUACCCUCGAGUGGGGAAUAACUAGCCGAAAGGUUAGCUAAUACCGCAUACGUUUCCGGAACUUCGGUUUCGGAAAGAAAGCAAUACCGUGGGUAUUGCGCUCCUGGAUGGGCUCAUGUCCUAUCAGCUUGUUGGUGAGGUAACGGCUCACCAAGGCUUCGACGGGUAGCUGGUCUGAGAGGACGAUCAGCCACACUGGCACUGCGACACGGGCCAGACUCCUACGGGAGGCAGCAGUAAGGAAUAUUGCGCAAUGGACGAAAGUCUGACGCAGCGACGCCGCGUGGGGGAUGAAGGUCUUCGGAUUGUAAACCCCUUUCGGGAGGGAAGAUGGAGUGGGUAACCACUUGGACGGUACCUCCAGAAGCAGCCACGGCUAACUUCGUG